rnacentral:rRNA from 1 species
GGGGAAUUUUGCGCAAUGGGGGCAACCCUGACGCAGCAACGCCGCGUGCGGGACGAAGGCCUUCGGGUUGUAAACCGCUUUCAGCAGGGAAGACUUUGACGGUACCUGCAGAAGAAGCUCCGGCUAACUACGUGCCAGCAGCCGCGGUAAUACGUAGGGGGCGAGCGUUAUCCGGAUUCAUUGGGCGUAAAGCGCGCGUAGGCGGCCGCCUAAGCGGAACCUCUAAUCCCGGGGCUCAACCCCGGGCCGGGUUCCGGACUGGGCGGCUCGAGUGCGGUAGAGGCAGGCGGAAUUCCCGGUGUAGCGGUGGAAUGCGCAGAUAUCGGGAAGAACACCGAUGGCGAAGGCAGCCUGCUGGGCCGCCACUGAC